UUAUUAUUUGCUUAGUUAAUCAUGGUUUUUUUAAAUAAAUUAAUCUUUAUUGAACUUUUAAGAAAUUGUUGAAAUUAAAGUUAAUUACAAGAUUUGCAAGUAAUUACAUUCUCAAAAUUUAUUCAUUCACUUUCAGAAUAACGUAUUGAGGGAAAAUGGGUAAAAGCUUUAUCACAACAAUUGACUCCAAAUCAGUUUGUGUGUGAGAAGCACUUUCGCGAAGAAGAUAUUAAGAAAGCUGAUCGAUUGAUUAUUAAUGGAGCUGAAAUUAUCAUCCCUCGCGAAAGGUGGACUCUUUUGAAUGACAAUGUCAUUCCAAUAAACCCUCAGGAUUUGGAAAAGGACAUUUCUGAAGAGUUGUUUUUUUUGUUACAGCAAGUUCCAAUAGUGCAAAAUGACAUUAAUAACUGACCAAUCAAAAACCUGGAUUAUACACAACCCUCGUUAAAUAUUGUUUGAGGUAACAAUUUAAAAGAAGAUUCUCAAUCAGCAGGACCCCAUCAUAUGGAAUCACCAGAGAUUGUAACAGCUAAUAAUGUAAAAGAAUUAGAUAUUAUUAUGUUUAUCAUAUUGUUAUAGAUUUGCGAGAUUUUAAUAUUUUUUUGUACAUAAAUUUCAACAUUAGGUCAUUAUCUCGAACAUGUCUCCACCAUCAUGUGUUACACUAGAAGAGAUCCAUGCUCAUUUUCACUCAAUACUGAUCCAAGGAUGGUGUUAUUUUGCUUGUGAUGAAGAGUUAAUAUUAUAUAAGAUAUGAAUUUUACUAUUUCCAAUAAUCUUUCAGUGAAGGUAAAUAAUUUUCUCAUGCUUUUUUAAAUAAUUUUAUCUAUUCAUAAUGCAUACAGAGCAUUUUAUAAAAUUUAUUAAGUUUUGCUCACAUAAUCAUUUCUGAUACAACAGGUUUCUUUCUCUCAACAACCAGAAAUUGUUAUUGAUACUACAUCAUCUAUAGAAGAUAUAAAAAUGUAUAUGGAAACUCUGCAAGCCACUAUUUUAUGUAAAGGAACUGACAUACACUAUAGGUACGAUAUAUUUUCUUUCAUUUCUUUUAAUAUAAAUAAAAAUCUCAUACUAUUACACAUUAGGUGAAAAUUGAAAAUAAACUUAAAGAUUCACCUAAAUCAAGGCUCCAUCUAGAACUGUGACACCUGAAGUAAAAACAAGCAUCAAGUACAUCUUUUAGUAGUAGUGUGAAAAGAAAGAAAGUAUCUACAUUACCUUUGAAAAAUUCCAAAUCAUCUUGUAAGUCAAUAGAUAUGUUUUUUAGGUAGGAGAUUUUUUUGUAAUUAUCUAACUGUAUGCAAAUGAACUUGUAAAUAAUGUAAAUACAUUUAUAAAGCAAUUUUAUGAAAUAAAAAAAUAUGAUAUUUUAAUUGUUUUUUAUUUAUUUUACUACUAUGUCGUUAAAUAUAGCAAAUUUUGAUCUUUCAUUUCUACUAACUAUCACUCAAUAUUGAUACUA
rnacentral:misc_RNA from 1 species